UACGAAGGGGGCUAGCGUUGUUCGGAAUUACUGGGCGUAAAGCGCGCGCAGGCGGCUAUCCAAGUCAGUGGUGAAAGCCCGGAGCUCAACUCCGGAACUGCCAUUGAAACUGUUUAGCUUGAGGAUGAGAGAGGUGAGUGGAAUUCCCAGUGUAGCGGUGAAAUGCGUAGAUAUAGGGAAGAACACCAAUCAGGCGAAGGCAGUUAACUAUUCUAUUCCUGACAUUGAGGCAUGAAAGCGUGGGGAGCAAAACGG
rnacentral:rRNA from 1 species